GAUGAACGCUGGCGGCGUGCUUAACACAUGCAAGUCGAGCGAAGCACUUUGAAUUUUUCGGAAUGAGAAGUGACUGAGCGGCGGACGGGUGAGUAACGCGUGGGUAACCUGCCUCAUACAGGGGGAUAACAGUUAGAAAUGACUGCUAAUACCGCAUAAGCGCACAGCUUCGCAUGAAGCAGUGUGAAAAACUCCGGUGGUACAAGAUGGACCCGCGUCUGAUUAGCGGGUUGGUGAGGUAACGGCCCACCAAGGCAACGAUCAGUAGCCGGCCUGAGAGGGUGAACGGCCACAUUGGGACUGAGACACGGCCCAAACUCCUACGGGAGGCAGCAGUGGGGAAUAUUGCACAAUGGGGGAAACCCUGAUGCAGCAACGCCGCGUGAGUGAAGAAGUAUUUCGGUAUGUAAAGCUCUAUCAGCAGGAAAGAAAAUGACGGUACCUGACUAAGAAGCCCCGGCUAACUACGUGCCAGCAGCCGCGGUAAUACGUAGGGGGCAAGCGUUAUCCGGAUUUACUGGGUGUAAAGGGAGCGUAGACGGUUUUGCAAGUCCGAAGUGAAAGCCCGGGGCUUAACCCCGGGACUGCUUUGGAAACUGUAGGACUAGAGUGCAGGAGAGGUAAGUGGAAUUCCUAGUGUAGCGGUGAAAUGCGUAGAUAUUAGGAAGAACACCAGUGGCGAAGGCGGCUUACUGGACUGUAACUGACGUUGAGGCUCGAAAGCGUGGGGAGCAACAGG
rnacentral:rRNA from 1 species